GACGAACGCUGGCGGCGUGCCUAAUACAUGCAAGUCGAACGCAGUGGGUACGGGUGAGUAACACGUGGGUAACCUCCCAUCAGAGGGGAUAACACUUGGAAACAGGUGCUAAACCGAUACUGAUGGAUGGACCCGCGGUGCAUUAGCUAGUUGGUGAGGUAACGGCUCACCAAGGCCACGAUGCCUAGCUGAUCUGAGAGGGUGAGCGACCACACUGGGACUGAGAAACGGCCCAGACUCCUACGGGAGGCAGCAGUGGGGAUUCUUGGGCAACGGACGAAAUGGUGACCGAUCAACGCCGCGUGAAUGAAGAAGGUUUGCGGAUAGUAAAACUCUGUUGUUAGAGAAGCGGAAUCUACUCAGGAAGCCCCGGCUAACUACGUGCCAGCCGCCGCGGUAAUAC
rnacentral:rRNA from 1 species